AAUGGUCGGAAGACUGAUCCAGCCAUGCCGCGUGCAGGAAGACUGCCUAUGGGUUGUAAACUGCUUUUAUAUGGGAAGAAAAGGCCUACGUGUAGGCUGAUGACGGUACCAUAAAAAUAAGCACCGGCUAACUCCGUGCCACCAGCCGCGGUAAUACGGAGGGUGCAAGCGUUUUCCGGAAUCAUUGGGUUUAAAGGGUCCGUAGGCGGGUUUAUAAGUCAGUGGUGAAAGUCUGCAGCUUAACUGUAGAACUGCCAUUGAUACUGUAGAUCUUGAAUUAUUGUGAAGUGGUUAGAAUAUGUAGUGUAGCGGUGAAAUGCUUAGAGAUUACAUAGAAUACCGAUUGCGAAGGCAGAUCACUAACAAUAUAUUGACGCUGAUGGACGAAAGCGUAGGUAGCGAACAGGAUU
rnacentral:rRNA from 1 species